CGCAACUCUCGGAACAGGAGAAAAAAAAGGAAUAAUGAAGGUGUAUAUAUCUACAUAUGGGUAUGUGACAUGAGUUCAGAGGUCAGAGGCUUUGGAUCCCCUGGAGCUGGAAUUGCAGACUGUUCUGAGACACCUGGCAUGCGUGAUGGGAACCUAACUCGGGUCUUCCGGAAGAGCAGCGAGUGGACCUCCUUGCUGAGCCCUCUCUCCAGCCACAAUGGUGAAAGGUUUUUACAGCAGCCUGCAGCUAUAUUUCCCAGGCCGACCGGAAGCAUCAGUAUCACCCGAUCACUUCAGCGAAUACAUUGUACUAGACCAGUGCAUCCCU